GACGAACCGUGCGAACGUUAUUCGGAAUCACUGGGCUUAAAGCGCGUGUAGGCGGGACGGCACGUCGGUCGCUGAAAGCCCCCGGCUCAACCGGGGGAACGGGCGCCGAUACGACCGCCCUGGAGGGACGUAGGGGGACCUGGAACUUCCGGUGGAGCGGUGAAAUGCGUUGAGAUCGGAAGGAACGCCCGUGGCGAAAGCGAGGUCCUGGACGUCUGCUGACGCUGAGACGCGAAAGCCAGGGGAGCGAACAGG
rnacentral:rRNA from 1 species